GUCUACGGCCAUGCUACCCUGAACAAGCCCGAUUCCAUCUGAUCUCAGAAGCUAAGCAGGGUCAGGCCUGGUUAGUACUUGGAUGAGAGACCACCUAGGAAGACCAGGUGCUGUGGCAU
rnacentral:rRNA from 1 species